UGAGGAAUAUUGGUCAAUGGGCGAGAGCCUGGACCAGCCAAGUCGCGUGAGGGAAGACGGUCCUACGGAUUGUAAACCUCUUUUGCCGGGGAGCAAAGGGGCCAUUGAUGGCAGGAUGAGCGUACCCGGAGAAAAAGCAUCGGCUAACUCCGUGCCAGCAGCCGCGGUAAUACGGAGGAUGCGAGCGUUAUCCGGAUUUAUUGGGUUUAAAGGGUGCGCAGGCGGCUAUUCAAGUCAGCGGUCAAACUUCGGGGCUCAACCUCGUUUUGCCGUUGAAACUGAGGAGCUGGAGUCUGUUCGAGGGACGCGGAAUGCGAGGUGUAGCGGUGAAAUGCAUAGAUAUCACGCAGAACUCCGAUUGCGAAGGCAGCGUCC
rnacentral:rRNA from 1 species